CUGAGUUUGUCUGAAGCUGGCUUAAAAAACAGGUGGAGCUUCAAGAAAUCUACCUUCCUGAAUACCUUCUCUAAUAAAGAAAAAGUAAAACCUCCACUGAAUUUUGUACUGCUACCAUACCAUAGCACCAACUAUGCCAACUAGCACCGACAGAUUUACUGGUGGUAGCAUGUAAGAGACCUACCUUCCUGGAGAUGACUGCAGUUCUGAGAUGAUCCUGUUCCCCUGACCUCCCUCUUAGCCUCUGCAGAAGGUCCCUAGUGAGGUGGUGGCUGAGGUGUGGAUGCUCAGAGCUGCUGCAGACCCACAGCUGUGCCCUCUUUCCCUCUCUGGGUGAGGCAGAGCUGCUCCUAGGGAGGAAAAGUGGCAGCUCAAAUGUGAGGUACCAAAGGCUGGGGGACCUCAGGGGACCUCCUGAACCACCUG